rnacentral:lncRNA from 1 species
UAAUGAUGUUAAUCUGGUCUAACCCCAGACAGUGGGUUGUUAAUGGCGUUAAUCUGGUCUAACUCCAGACAGUGGGUUAUUAAUGACGUUAAUCUGGUCUAACCCCAGACAGUGGGUUAUUAAUGACGUUAAUCUGGUUUUACUCCAGACAGUGGGUUAUUAAUGACGUUAAUCUGGUCUAACUCCAGACAGAGGCAUAUUAAUGACGUUAAUCUGGUCUAACUCCAGACAGUGGGUUAUUAAUGUCGUUAAUCUGGUCUAACUCCAGACAGUGGGAUAUUAAUCUGGUCUAACCCCAGACAGUGAGUUGUUAAUCUGGUCUAACUCCAGACAGUGAGUUAUUAAUCUGGUCUAACCCCAGACAGUGGGUUAUUAAUGACGUUAAUCUGGUCUAACUCCAGACAGUGGGAUAUUAAUCUGGUCUAACCCCAGACAGUGGGUUAUUAAUGACGUUAAUCUGGUCUAACUCCAGACAGUGGGUUAUUAACGCCGUUAAUCUGGUCUAACUCCAGACAGUGGGUUAUUAAUGACGUUAAUCUGGUCUAACUCCAGACAGUGGGUUGUUAAUCUGGUCUAAUUCCAGAAGUGGGUUAUUAAUGCCGUUAAUCUGGUCUAACUCCAGACAGUGGGUUGUUAAUCUGGUCUAACUCCAGACAGUGGGUUAUUAAUGACGUUAAUCUGGUCUAAUUCCAGACAGUGGGUUAUUAAUCUGGUCUAACUCCAGACAGUGGGUUAUUAAUGACGUUAAUCUGGUCUAAUUCCAGACAGUGGGUUAUUAAUGCCGUUAAUCUGGUCUAAUUCCAGAUGGGUUAUUAACGCCGUUAAUCUGGUCUAACUCCAGACAGUGGGUUAUUAAUCUGGUCUAAUUCCAGAUGGGUUAUUAAUGCCGUUAUCUGGUCUAACUCCAGACAGUGGGUUAUUAAUGCCGUUAAUCUGGUCUAACUCCAGACAGUGGGUUAUUAACGCUGUUAAUCUGGUCUAAUUCCAGAUGGGUUAUUAACGCCGUUAAUCUGGUCUAACUCCAGACAGUGGGUUAUUAAUCUGGUCUAAUUCCAGAUGGGUUAUUAAUGCCGUUAUCUGGUCUAACUCCAGACAGUGGGUUAUUAACGCUGUUAAUCUGGUCUAACUCCAGACAGUGGGUUAUUAAUCUGGUCUAACUCCAGACACUGGCUCCUACCCACACUACUAUUACCCUGUAGACCAGUCCUGCUGUAGGCCGUGGUAAAUUGUGUGAUCUGCUUGACACGAGUUGCUUGGGGGAAACUGCAGCGCUCCUUGGCUACCUGCCAACCACCCUGAUCACACGUACAUUUUAAAAAGGGUAGGAACCUGUCCUGUCCACAAACUCUGAGAGAUAGGAGAGCUGGGCUUGAAGAGAAGGGGAGGUGGCAUCUGAAAACAAUCUACAGACCAACCAACAAGUCAUUCUACAAUAAAGGCACUGAAACGAGUCACUACUCAAAGCAUUAAGCCCCGAAACAAGUCACUACUCAAAGCAUUAAGCCCCGAAACAAGUCACUACUCAAAGCAUUAAGCCCCGAAACAAGUCACUACUCAAAGCAUUAAGCCCCGAAACAAGUCACUGCUCAAAGCAUUAAGCCCUGAAACAAGUCACUACUCAAAGCAUUAAGCCCUGAAACAAGUCACUACUCAAAGCAUUAAGCCCUGAAACAAGUCACUACUCAAAGCAUUAAGCCCCGAAACAAGUCACUACUCAGUACUCAAAGCAUUAAGCCCCGAAACAAGUCACUACUCAAAGCAUUAAGCCCCGAAACAAGUCACUACUCAAAGCAUUAAGCCCCGAAACAAGUCACUACUCAGUACUCAAAGCAUUAAGCCCCGAAACAAGUCACUACUGAGUACUCAAAGCAUUAAGCCCCGAAACAAGUCACUACUCAAAGCAUUAAGCCCCGAAACAAGUCACUACUCAAAGCAUUAAGCCCCGAAACAAGUCACUACUCAAAGCAUUAAGCCCUGAAACAAGUCACUACUCAAAGCAUUAAGCCCCGAAACAAGUCACUACUCAAAGCAUUAAGCCCCGAAACAAGUCACUACUCAAAGCAUUAAGCCCUGAAACAAGUCACUACUCAAAGCAUUAAGCCCUGAAACAAGUCACUACUCAGUACUCAAAGCAUUAAGCCCCGAAACAAGUCACUACUCAAAGCAUUAAGCCCCGAAACAAGUCACUACUCAAAGCAUUAAGCCCUGAAACAAGUCACUACUCAGUACUCAAAGCAUUAAGCCCCGAAACAAGUCACUACUCAAAGCAUUAAGCCCUGAAACAAGUCACUACUCAAAGCAUUAAGCCCCGAAACAAGUCACUACUCAAAGCAUUAAGCCCUGAAACAAGUCACUACUCAGUACUCAAAGCAUUAAGCCCCGAAACAAGUCACUACUCAAAGCAUUAAGCCCUGAAACAAGUCACUACUCAGUACUCAAAGCAUUAAGCCCCGAAACAAGUCACUACUCAAAGCAUUAAGCCCCGAAACAAGUAACUACUCAAAGCAUUAAGCCCCGAAACAAGUCACUACUCAAAGCAUUAAGCCCCGAAACAAGUCACUACUCAAAGCAUUAAGCCCCGAAACAAGUCACUACUCAAAGCAUUAAGCCCUGAAACAAGUCACUACUCAGUACUCAAAGGAUUAAGCCCCGAAACAAGUCACUACUCAAAGCAUUAAGCCCUGAAACAAGUCACUACUCAAAGCAUUAAGCCCCGAAACAAGUCACUACUCAAAGCAUUAAGCUCCGAAACAAGUCACUGCUGAGUACUCAAAGCAUUAAGCCCCGAAACAAGUCAGUAGUCAAAGCAAUAAGCCCCGAAACAAGUCACUACUGAAAGCAUUAAGCCCUGAAACAAGUCACUACUCAGUACUCAAAGCAUUAAGCCCUGAAACAAGUCACUACUCAGUACUCAAACCAUUAAGCCCCGAAACAAGUCAGUACUCAAAGCAUUAGGCACGACUCGGUACUCUCUCUUUCUGCUAACCAUAAACCAUGUUUUAGGAUUAGCAGAAAGCAGGGGAGGUCAAUUCCAUUUCAAUAUCAGUCAAUUCAGAAAGUAAACCAAAUUCCAAUUCCACAUUUUCCUCAUUGAAAAGCAAUAAAGAGAAUAGGAUUUUGAAUCGAAAUCUCAGUUAACUUCCUGAAUUGACGCCAACCCUGGCAUAAACAUGUUGUUUCAAACAAAACAGUCUAAUGAAUGAAUCAAUCUGAACAGGCACUGUGUUAUGAGUCAGUCUCUAAUGAAUCAGUCUCUAAUGAAUCAGUCUCUAAUGAAUCAGUCUCUAAUGAAUC